rnacentral:rRNA from 1 species
UAAGCGGAGGAAAAGAAACCAACAGGGAUUGCCCUAGUAACGGCGAGUGAAGCGGCAACAGCUCAAAUUUGAAAUCUGGCCCUCGGGUCCGAGUUGUAAUUUGUAGAGGAUGCUUUUGGUGCGGUGCCUUCCGAGUUCCCUGGAACGGGACGCCAUAGAGGGUGAGAGCCCCGUCUGGUUGGACGCCAAUCCUCUGUAAAGCUCCUUCGACGAGUCGAGUAGUUUGGGAAUGCUGCUCUAAAUGGGAGGUAUAUGUCUUCUAAAGCUAAAUAUUGGCCAGAGACCGAUAGCGCACAAGUAGAGUGAUCGAAAGAUGAAAAGCACUUUGAAAAGAGAGUUAAAAAGUACGUGAAAUUGUUGAAAGGGAAGCGCUUAUGACCAGACUUGGGCUUGGUAGAUCAACCUGGGUUCUCCCUGGUGCACUCUUCCUCGUCCAGGCCAGCAUCAGUUCGCUGCGGGGGAUAAAGGCUUCGGGAAUGUGGCUCCCUCGGGAGUGUUAUAGCCCGUUGCGUAAUACCCUGCGGUGGACUGAGGUUCGCGUUCUGCAAGGAUGCUGGCGUAAUGGUCAUCAGCGACCCGUCU